GCCCAAGCAUUUGUGGUCCAGUGG
rnacentral:siRNA from 1 species